rnacentral:tRNA from 1 species
UGCCUAGUAGCUCAGUUGGUAGAGCAGCGCACUGUUAAUGCGUCCGUCGCUGGUUCGAUCCCAGCCUAGGCAGCCA